UACGUAGGGACCGAGCGUUGUCCGGAAUCAUUGGGCGUAAAGAGCUCGUAGGCGGCUUGUCGCGUCGACUGUGAAAACUCGGGGCUCAACUCCGAGCUUGCAGUCGAUACGGGCAGGCUAGAGUUCGGUAGGGGAGACUGGAAUUCCUGGUGUAGCGGUGAAAUGCGCAGAUAUCAGGAGGAACACCGGUGGCGAAGGCGGGUCUCUGGGCCGAUACUGACGCUGAGGAGCGAAAGCGUGGGGAGCGAACAGG
rnacentral:rRNA from 1 species